UACGGAGGGGGCUAGCGUUGUCCGGAAUCACUGGGCGUAAAGGGCGCGUAGGCGGCAUGCCAAGCGUGUGGUGAAAGCCCGGGGCUCAACCCCGGGUCGGCCGUGCGGACUGGCGUGCUCGAGCACUGUAGGGGCGGGUGGAAUUCCGGGUGUAGCGGUGGAAUGCGUAGAGAUCCGGAAGAACACCGGUGGCGAAGGCGGCUCUCUGGGACGGUACUGACGCUGAGACGCGAAAGCGUGGGGAGCGAACAGG
rnacentral:rRNA from 1 species